rnacentral:rRNA from 1 species
UACGUAGGGGGCUAGCGUUGUCCGGAAUCAUUGGGCGUAAAGAGCGUGUAGGCGGCUUGGUAAGUCCGCUGUGAAGGUCCAGGGCUCAACCCUGGAAUGCCAGUGGAAACUGCCGAGCUAGAGUCCGGAAGAGGCGAGUGGAAUUCCUGGUGUAGCGGUGAAAUGCGCAGAUAUCAGGAGGAACACCAACGGCGAAGGCAGCUCGCUGGGACGGUACUGACGCUAAGGCGCGAAAGCGUGGGGAGCGAACAGG